UUUAGAUACUACUGUACAUAAACGGACUGAACAAGUGGAAAGGCAGAUACGCUUUGGCCUGCAUACAUGUGCUCAAAGGAAAAUACGAUCCCUUAUUGGCAUGGCCCUGUAUAAUUGAGGGCCAAAUUUCCUUAAGAGACUUAACAGAAACUAGUCAGAAGAAGGAUUUUAUAAAAUUCAUAAAGACAAAACGACCAAGUGGGGACGAGGAUGAGGACGAACCGCAGGAAUCUUCACCUACGUAUAUUUUUAUACCCCACUCGGUCAUGUUGAAAGCAAACUACACAAAAAAUGAUACACUUUUUUUGGAUGUUAAUAUAAGCGAGAACCAGACACGACACGAGACAAGUUUGUAGUUAAUAAAAUUUUGUUCUUUUUUAGACAAAGUGAUUUACCUAGACCGUGCGAUAGAAGUUGUCCAACUUACAGUUGUUGUAGAGACUUCAAAUUUUGUUUCCGCUGAUAACGAUUAGUGCCGAAACCAGUUGAAGAAUAUUUAGCCCUCUAGCUAUACAAGGUGUACAGAUUUUUACGGAACCAGCUAAAUCUACGGAACGGUUCUAAAUUCUAAAAUAAAAACGGUUCCAAAUUUGGUAGGUAGUUCCCCAAGCCAGCUCCCCAGCCUACAAAACAUUGCAAAAAACAAAAAAAUCAAUUUUUUUAAAUGGCACCUACUCACUUAUUGGUCCUGUUUAGUUUAGUUUCUUAUUGUUUAAUCAUAGCACAAUUUUCAACGAGGAUCAAAAAAGUAUGUAGGUGCCAUUUAGAUAAAACUGAUUUUUCGAUCGUUUUCGUCUGAAUGUUUGUACGCUGCAUGCACCCAUAUCUUACAAAAUUGGCGUCUUAUGGGGAGUUAGCUGGGACUUCCAGCUAGCGAUUUAGCAAAUCUGGAUUUACAUUUAAAACCGUUAAUUUUAUUCUUGUUGUUGCUGAGGCUUGUUCCGUAAACACCUGUAUUGGCAGUUUUUUCUUAAACAAUUGACAUAUGUCCAAAACUUUAAGAGUUAGUUAACAAAACUAGGGUGGCUCAAACUGGCAAUUGGAAGGCCCAUACAACCAUGUUAAAAAAAUUACGGGUUUACAUUUAAAAUAAGAAAGUUAUAUGAUACUAUUCAUACACCCUGUAAGGUAGACGACUAAAUGGAUUUUCCAUGGCUUCGACACGACUCGUCCUGACCGGAACCAAAAUUUAAAGUUUCAAAACAACUAUAAGUUCUAGUUUUGGUUCAAAAGAAGACGAUCGGGCCAAACUUUCAUUAAGGAAAAGUGUUUGACUCCCCUGCUAUUGAUCUGAAAAAGUUAUGGUUUUGUGCAUUUCUUGAGAAUAUCGUUUUAAAUAGAUGAUAACAUAAUGGCUUUA
rnacentral:lncRNA from 1 species